rnacentral:rRNA from 2 species
GGAUGCGAUCAUACCAGCACUAACGCACCGGAUCCCAUCAGAACUCCGAAGUUAAGCGUGCUUGGGCGAGAGUAGUACUAGGAUGGGUGACCCCCUGGGAAGUCCUCGUGUUGCAUCCCU